UUACUCUGGUUUCCCUUCAAAACGUAUAAAUCUUUCGCCUUUUACUAAAGAUUUCCGUGGAGGGGAACACUCAAAUGAGUCUAAACAUAUUUUUGAAGCUUCACUUUCGGGUGAGGU